rnacentral:lncRNA from 1 species
GUUUUUUUUCUUUAAAUUAAGAUUUUAGCAAAAUAAAAACUGUAACGAUCAAAUGUUCACUGAUCGUUUACACGGCACGCGUUGCAAAUUAUAAAUAGUGUUAAAAGCAUUAAAUACGAUUGCCGGCUUAAAAUUUCAUUCAAAAUAAAUUCGGAAACCAACUAUAAUAUUUAAUUAAGAAAUGUCGUUGAAAUUUAACUCAAAAUCGGAAGUACUUAAUAGAUUUGUCAUCGUUACUCAGUUGGCUAUUCACAAAGCAAUAAAGAUCAAGGGAAAUUGUUCUAGAGCAGCUCUUUAUCGUCAUAUUGACAGAUGUCAAUUAAAAAGCAACUUACAUAUGCUCCUUUUUUACAGGAGCGAUAAUCAUAGGGGAGACCAGUUGUUGCUAUAAUUACCUAUAGAAGUCAGUAAGAUUUUGAACCAAUUCUGACAUGGAGAUCUUAAUAUUUUUCCCGAUUCUUGGAACUUCACGUUAAUUUCUGAAACGAUUAAAUAAACUUCUACCGCCUUGUGUUCAAUUAUGUAUAUAUAUGCAUAUACACAACCGUAUACAUUGUAUACUUAACGUGCAAUCUUAGUAAAACGACCCAGCAACGCCGUUAAUUACAGUCUAGAGUCCAAACUUAUCGAAUUUUUAAUUCAUUAAUAUUAUUUUUUUUUAUAACAAUAAAUAAAUUCUAUA